GCCUAGCCUAUCCACCUUAUUCCUAUCUUAAAAAGAACCAACAGCUGCAAAAAAGUCAAGGACAGACAGCUCUCUAUCAAGCUAGGCAACAAUAUAAGUUCUUUGAUCAAGGAGGAUUUCAACCAGGCAAAAACCAGUCAGCAUCACUCUGAUUGGCUGAAACGAGCACAUCAUCAUAAACGCCACUCUGAUUGGCCGAGGCAAGACGAGGCAUUUGGCGGCUUGGCGCGAGUCAGAGCCGUAGUGUUCUGGACGGCACAGGUCUUCAGAUCACUGGUGAACCCGUUUCCUAGAAAUUGAAGGUCUACAGUGUGGUCCACCUGUCUUUGCACCCCGGGAAGGGCAGUGCUGUCACAAGGCAGCAUUUUUUUCACCACUGAUGGGAAUAAAUUUAAUGACAGACAUGGAGUGAGCAGAAGAUCAGGACGGUGGUGCAGAGUGAUGGCCAUCAACCCUGCAGCUUCAUUCAGUCCAAAAUGAUGUUUAAAUGGAGGACUUCACAGAGAGGGUCAGUGGCCUGUUUGCCACCACCCACAUGCCCUGCAUUUAGGGGUGAUGGUUAUGAGACUAGUUGCAUAUUUGUUGUUUUUGCUAAUGUUAAGAUUUUGUUUAAUUUUUAGAUAAAUCAAGUUCUCUCUUAGGACAUUGAUUCCCAAUCCAGCCAUCAAGAUGCAUGUAUUUGUUUCCUUUUUUUUAUUCUUGCAUAC